rnacentral:rRNA from 1 species
GUGUCAGCCGCCGCGGUAAAACGUAGGAUCCUAGCGUUAUCCGAAUUUACUGGGCGUAAAGCGCGUGCAGGUGGUUUGGUAAGUUGGAUGUGAAAGCUCCUGGCUCAACUGGGAGAGGCCGUUCAAAACUACCAGACUUGAGGGCGGUAGAGGAAGGUGGAAUUCCCGGUGUAGUGGUGAAAUGCGUAGAUAUCGGGAGGAACACCAGUGGCGAAGGCGGCCUUCUGGGCCGUCCCUGACACUCAGACGCGAAAGCUAGGGGAGCAAACGGGAUUAGAUACCCCGGUAGUCCUAGCUGUAAACGAUGCGAACUUGGCGUUGGUGGGUUAAAAACCAUCAGUGCCGAAGCUAACGCGUUAAGUUCGCCGCCUGGGGAUUACGGUCGCAAGGCUAAAACUCAAAGGAAUUGACGGGG